GAGAGUAUAGCUCAAGUGGUAGAGCAUGUGCUUAGCAUGCACGAGGUUCUGUGUUCAAUCCUUGGUACCUCCA
rnacentral:tRNA from 1 species